rnacentral:lncRNA from 1 species
AACCCACUGGAAGGAACCAAUUCCGGACACACUUCCCUACCCACCCUGGUAGCUGAACACAAAGGGUGUACACUCGGGCAUUCUAGGGCCCCACCCACCUCUGGUUCCUCCCCAUACUACCACAGCUGAUACUCUCUGGAAAGCACCACCUCCUGGCAGGGGGCCAACCAGCACAAAAAUAGAGCAUUAAACCACCAAAGCUAAGACCCCUCACAGAGUUCAUUUUACCCCCUUGUCAUCUCCACUGGAACAGCUGCUGGUAUCCA